CAGUCGCCACGGUAAUACGGAGGGUGCGAGCGUUAAUCGGAAUUACUGGGCGUAAAGAGUGCGUAGGUGGUUAAUUAAGUUAUCUGUGAAAUUCCUGGGCUUAACCUGGGCAGGUCAGAUAAUACUGGUUAACUCGAGUAUGGGAGAGGGUAGUGGAAUUUCCGGUGUAGCGGUGAAAUGCGUAGAGAUCGGAAGGAACACCAGUGGCGAAGGCGGCUACCUGGCCUAAUACUGACACUGAGGCACGAAAGCGUGGGGAGCAAACAGGAUUAGAUACCCGUGUAGUCCCUGUCUCUUAUAC
rnacentral:rRNA from 1 species